rnacentral:SRP_RNA from 1 species
CCGUGCUAAGCGGGGAGGUAGCGGUGCCCUGUACUCGCAAUCCGCUCUAGCGAGGCCGAACUCCUUUCCGAGGCUAACUCUCUGUAGUGCUGCCUCGAGUAAGUGGUGUUGACGCCUGGGUCCCGCGCAAUGAGAACCCAUGAACCAUGUCAGGUCCGGAAGGAAGCAGCAUUAAGUGGACCCUCUCAUGUGCCGCGGGGUAGCCUGGGCCGAGCUAACUGCUCGAGUAACGACUAUGGAAGCUAGUCGACGAAAGGUGCACGG